AAAUUCUGCAUCUCAGGCAGCAUUGUCACAGGAGCUCUCCCCAAACUCCAACUGGGGACUACAACUCACAUCAUGCCCAGCCAGACCACACACUUCUGUGGAUUAAUGCGAAUGUGUGGCCCAAUGAGUCAAUUCACUAAAUGGGGUCACCUGGAAGGUGACUUGCAAAAAGUAUCACAAAAUAUCCAAGCUGAAUAAAAUUAAGUUU